rnacentral:rRNA from 1 species
AGAGUUUGAUCAUGGCUCAGAACGAACGCUGGCGGCGUGCCUAAGACAUGCAAGUCGUACGGAAAGGCCCCCUUCGGGGGGCACUCGAGUGGCGCACGGGUGAGUAACGCGUGGGUAAUCUGCCUUAGGGUCUAGGACAACCCCGGGAAACUGGGGCUAAUACUGGAUAAGACCACGAGCUCUUCGGAGCUUGCGGGAAAAGAUGGCCUCUCCUUGGAAGCUAUCGCCCUUCGAUGAGCCCGCGUCCCAUUAGCUAGUUGGUGAGGUGACGGCUCACCAAGGCUUUGAUGGGUAGCUGGUCUGAGAGGCUGAUCAGCCACACUGGAACUGAGACACGGUCCAGACUCCUACGGGAGGCAGCAGUCGGGAAUUUUGGGCAAUGGGCGAAAGCCUGACCCAGCAACGCCGCGUGAGGGAUGAAGGCCCUCGGGUCGUAAACCUCUGUCGGGAGGGAAGAACGGUUCACGUUCAAACAGGACGGGAGCCUGACGGUACCUCCAAAGGAAGCACCGGCUAACUCCGUGCCAGCAGCCGCGGUAAUACGGAGGGUGCAAGCGUUGUUCGGAAUCAUUGGGCGUAAAGCGCGUGUAGGCGGCUUGGCAAGUCAGUUGUGAAAGCCCGGGGCCCAACCCCGGAACUGCAUCUGAAACUGCCUGGCUAGAGUCCCGGAGAGGAAGGCAGAAUUCCCGGUGUAGGGGUG